AGCAGGUCAGAUGGUCCUCUUGCCCCCUGAGGCUAUCAUCCCACUGAGGUGACCGCAUCCCCUGUCUCAGGAGCACCAGCACACAACCGCCUCACCUGCAGGCUUGGACUUCCCACAGCACAUAAAUAUGCCGAGUUGCAACCAGCAAUACCCUGCUGAGAUGUGCUUGACUCUUCAGAACUCGGCGUGUGUACAGAAUCCUGCAUUUGUGGACUGUUGGAGGUUGACCACGAAAGACCAUGAAGGUCUCAAGAGGACCCAUGCAAACAGCUGACGUCUACAAUGAGAAAGAGAAAACUGUGUUGCAACGUUGGAACGGCCAGAUGCCCGGGGAUGAUGAGAGAUGAGCACGUGAUCCUGCUUUCUUUCACACCAUCAAUCUCUCACAUUUGAAGACAAAAAAUUAAAUGUUUCCAUGGAGCUUUGCGAGUUUUUGUUUUAUUUUAGACUU